GCGAACGCUGGCGGCAGGCCUAACCCCUGCAAGUCGAACGGAUCCUUCGGGAUUAGUGGCGGACGGGUGAGUCACACGUGGGAACGUGCCCUUUGGUUCGGAACAACUCAGGGAAACUUGAGCUAAUACCGGAUGUGCCCUUCGGGGGAAAGAUUUAUCGCCAUUGGAGCGGCCCGCGUCUGAUUAGCUAGUUGGUGAGGUAACGGCCCACCAAGGCGACGAUCAGUAGCUGGGCUGAGAGGAUGAUCAGCCACACUGGGACUGAGACACGGCCCAGACUCCUACGGGAGGCAGCAGUGGGGGAUCUUGCGCAAUGGGCGAAAGCCUGACGCAGCCAUGCCGCGUGAAUGAUGAAGGUCUUAGGAUUGUAAAAUUCUUUCAGCGGGGACGAUAAUGACGGUACCCGCAGAAGAAGCUCCGGCUAACUUCGUG
rnacentral:rRNA from 1 species